rnacentral:rRNA from 1 species
UACGUAGGGUGCGAGCGUUGUCCGGAAUUAUUGGGCGUAAAGGGCUCGUAGGCGGUCUGUUGCGUCAGGAGUGAAAACUCGGGGCUUAACCCCGAGCCUGCUUCUGAUACGGGCAGACUAGAGGUAUGCAGGGGAGAACGGAAUUCCUGGUGUAGCGGUGAAAUGCGCAGAUAUCAGGAGGAACACCGGUGGCGAAGGCGGUUCUCUGGGACGGUACUGACGCUGAGACGCGAAAGCGUGGGGAGCGAACAGG